UACGUAGGGAGCAAGCGUUGUCCGGAAUCAUUGGGCGUAAAGCGCGCGUAGGUGGCUUCGUAAGUCCGUUGUGAAAGUCAAAGGCUCAAACCUUUGAAAGCCGAUGGAUACUGUGAAGCUAGAGUACGGAAGAGGCGAGUGGAAUUCCUGGUGUAGCGGUGGAAUGCGUAGAUAGUCGGGAGGAACACCCAGUGGCGAAAGCGGGC
rnacentral:rRNA from 1 species